rnacentral:rRNA from 1 species
CCUACGGGAGGCAGCAGUGGGGAAUAUUGCACAAUGGGGGAAACCCUGAUGCAGCGACGCCGCGUGAGUGAAGAAGUAAUUCGUUACGUAAAGCUCUAUCAGCAGGGAAGAAAAUGACGGUACCUGAGUCAGAAGCCCCUGCUAACUACGUACCAGCAGCCGCGGUAAUCCGUAGGGGGCCAGCGUUAUCCGGAUUUACUGGGUGUAAAGGUAUCGUAGACGGUGCGGCAAGUCUGGAGUGAAUUGCCGCAGGUUAACUGCGGCACUGCUUUGGAAACUGGCGAACGAGAGGGCGGGAGGGGUAAGCGGAAGUCCUAGUGUAGCGGUGAAAUGCGUAGAUAUUAGGAGGAACACCGGUGGCGAAGGCGGCUUACUGGACCGUAACUGACGUUGAGGCUCGAAAGCGUGGGGAGCAAACAGGAUUAGAUACCCUUGUAGUC